GAGACGCUUUAGCAAUCAAUCAGUAAUUCAGGCUCCGACUGAGCAGCAAUGUCUGUUUCUGCAGUCAGGUAGCAGCAGGUACUUGGGAAGCAGCAUGCAGGACACAGCAGCAGAGGAGGGAGGAAGGCAGAGAAGAAAUCUGGACUUUCCUGUGACUGCUAGGGAAAGCACAACAUACCCAGGAGAAGUCUGUGUGCUUUGGCAGAGGAGGGCAUUCAUUUCCACAGAGACUGAUACUGCAGGAGACCGCUAUCUAGGACACUUACACGUCCACCCCGGUGGAGUGGAGGGAGCUGUGCCAGUUCACAGAUUGGGGGUUAAUUGCUCUGCUAAAAGCAGCAUAUGGAAAGUACCCCAGCCCUUGCUCCACACCUACCACACUGGACAAUGCUCCGGAACCGAAUAUCACACGCUGGACCGAUCCCGUGAACUACGAAAACCAGAUGAUCAAUUUGCAGAGGUUCUCCUAAGAAUAAAAGAACAGUUCAAAGCACAGGCCCUGCAGGAGACCUUCUGCCUAAGUGGUAAACUGAUCCACUGAAACCAAAUACUCUGCAGGAGAACAGAACCUCCCAUCAUCAUCUUAGUCUAGUUCGAGGUCGACCUUGUUCCAUAGGAGUUGAACCCCAGUCGUCAGAGGUAGCAACCGGAUGGUAGUGCACCAUGAGCUUGUAAACAAGAAGAACCCGUCAUUAAGCUGCAGUGCGUAACAUGGUUAAGCAGAAGAGAAAUUUCUGGCAGUCCUUCUACCAAAUACCUGAAGUGUCACUUCACUACAACAGCUGGAACCAAGGGCUGAAAUUAAUCAUGCAAGGUUGAGAAAGGCGUGCUACGAGAGAGCUUUUUACUAUGCCAAAUCAGAGGGACAAGAGUUGAGCACUUUCUACAGAGAGCAUACCAAGAAAGCCCACAAGCAACAGCAGUAGACACCAAUGUUCUUCAUAUACGAGCACACAGGACCGCAUUGAGAGCAUCCAGGUAGAGACAUGCCUGGUGUCACGCUUCUUCCAGAGGCAGAAGGUAAGAUCAAGGCAUUAAGCUACAAACAGCUGUCUUCCCUUCUGGAGCCAGGCACAGGCUAACAUGGUCUCUUCCUGCCUAUGCUUAGAUGGUAAAACGUGAAUUUUUGGCCUUAGGAAAUGCAUUGCUUGACACUGGAGGUUUAGGGCUCUAGAUUUCUAAGCAUUCCCCUGUGAAUCAAACAGAGAACUCUGCAUAUUUAGUUCUGCUGUCUCUUGGGUCCGACCCAUUAACGAGACUGCAGCUACAGCGCCCUGUGUCAGGCUCUGCUCUCUGCUCUCGGCACGUGAACCACUGGCACAGCUUUUAAUGCAAAGCUUUCUUGGAGAGGGAGGAAGAGGUCAAACAGUGUUCUGUAACAUCUGUUAGCAGAACCAGCACUUUAAACACACUCCUCAGCAGCAUGUCGUACACGGUGGUUGUGCACGCAGACCCUAUUUAGCAACACGAGGGCUCUGUGCUGAAGUGGUACUGCUCAGACUAGACCCAGCGGCUGUCCAGACAGCACCUUCACAAGGAGGUACUCACAGAACACCACAAAAUCUGUACACCAGCCUCCCCUUGGGAGAAAUUCCCUGUGCUGUUCUUUCAGCUGCCAUCCUGUUUACACUCUCCCAUUCAUAUGAGAAUAAUGCUUUGCAAAUAAGUAGAUUUAUAUAUAAUUUAAAGGAUAUAUCAAAUGAAUGAGGUCUGACCAUAUAAUGCAUCUAAAGAAUUUAGUUAUUCAUGUGUUUAAAGGUCUAAGAGUAGGUACAUUGCCAAAAAAAGUCCAAAUUUAAAAUUCCAGAGGCAAAUUUUUCCAUCCCAGGCAGAAGCCAUGGAUGUAUUCAGAGAAUUCCCCUCUGAUAAUAGGAUAGAGCAUCACAGACCCACUUCCUCAGACAACACACUUGAUGCUUCCUUACCAGUCUUUUAGGACUUCACCUGGCCAGGUCCUGAUUGUGUUUCUAAGAUCACGGACUAGGUAUUUAAAAUGAAGGGCUAUUUAAAAUCAGAAAUUAUAGGAGCUGAAGCCAAGCAGUGCUGUGAAAUCCUGCAGUCCAGCCUGUGGCGAUUCAAAACAAGAACUCAUGGAGUUUCGCCUGUGCUUUUUGACGGGGCAGCACCUGACAAAGGGCGUUUUUAUCCUACCUGAGGUGUGAGCCUCUUCCAGCCUCUCCGAAUCCUGCGUGCUGAAAGGGAUCCAUCGCUCUCUGGAGUCGACGACCUUGCAGUAAAACCAGUGGGGAACAACAGCUUCGUACUUAUUCGCAGCGUCUAACUCCGGAGCCUCGGAGGAAGCGGCUGAGGCGGGCGAAGAGGGCUGCUGUGCCUGUUGCUGUUCUUGAGCCGACAUGAUGCUGAACAAAGGAAACAGGAGACACAGGGACCUGAAUUUAAAGACCCUCUGAAGCGUUUGUGCCCCAUAGGAUAGCAGAUGCCUCCCCCAAAGCCGUAAUGAUUACUGGGGAGUGAGCCGGGCUCACGGUUCGCUGCCACAUCGGGGAGAAGCCGGUUCUGCAGGAACGCGCUGGCGGAGGCCCCGGUCCAAGUACUGACCCACCUCGGUCCUGCUUCGAGGGCGAUCGAAGGCAGCGGGGCCUCGGCAGGGACAGAACGCAGCUAUGUCAGCUGGAGUUUUCUGCGGGCUGGAAUAGGGAAGAUACGCCUUAAUCCACAUCAGUCCUACUGGUUUUGCAGGGCUUCACCAUCUGUCUAAGGGAUGAAGAAAUGCUGCUGUUUGGCUAGAAAUGUAAUCCACAGUAAUGUCUUUUCACAGAGCUCUUCAAAUACCCAAGCUUGCUGAAAUGAUAACCUACCAUUUCAGCCCACUUUUUAAUUUUCUUUCAUGUGCUUUUAGAUGAGGGUUUACAUAAUCCUCUGCCGAGUCCUUCCCACGUGCCAGGAGAGAAACUCCGGAAGAGGAAAUCUUCUGAAGGAAACUGUUACCUUAAUGGAUUCAGCACUAGAACACCAAGAAAAGCAAACCACCUCCCUCCUUCCUCUCAGGCUUUGGCUCAUAGGCCAUGCACAUACUUACAGUUUUUCUUAUAAACGGAUAAAGGUAUCAUUCUUGCCACGUCUCUGCAGCAGGAAACCUUUGUACUAGUCCACAGAGCACUGGUGAUACUACAGCAGCUGAGCAUACAUAUUUUCCUUCUCUCCUAGCUGACUGCAUUGCAGUGUUAUUCAGUUUGCAAAGUAACCAGGAUUGCUCCACAAUCCUCUUUGUGCUAGUAAAGCUGACUACCUCUUUUCCCUGGCAACUAACAGUUAGUGCUGAGAAUGAGUAUUAGAGAAAACAGGAUGCAAUAAGCAAUAGAGCUUUGUUCUUUAUGCAAUUCAUGCUACUAAAAAUGAAACAAAUACAGAAAAUAAAGUUUCAGUCAGUUCCUUGAAUUUCAGGCUCUAAUCCAAUCUAGCCAAAAGCUCCUUCCCUCCACAUACCUGUAAGUAUUGCCUUGCUGCAGCACUUCUGCUUAUUGUGCCAUAUCCUCGAAAAAACAGCAGGGCUGACGCAUCAGUCCCCUGUUUGUCAACGGGCACGUUGCUCGUGACAGUAGCAGAAAGAGCUCCGAAAGCUCAUCAAUAGCUGCGGGAGAGAGAGAGAGAGAUCUGCCCUAAAGCUAGUAGCCAUUUUGGUCAUAUACCAGCUCUAGAAAGUAUAUUCUCAUUUAAAACUAGGCUUCAGUUCUGCCCUUUCUUUUAAUGGGAAUGAAAAUUUGAAUUUAUGGGGGUUGAUUCAGCAGAGCAGUUGGGUACCUUGCUAUUAGGAGCUGUGUGAAGGAAGGCUGCCUGCAUCAAGAGCUGUCCUUUGUAACUGUAGCAGCUAUCCAUACUGUAGAAGUCCAUACACACUGGUUUAAGAACUGAGUGAUUUCACUUUCUUUUCCCUUUGCUGAAGUAUGACUUACCCAAGUCAUCUCUUGCUA